rnacentral:rRNA from 2 species
AGCUCAGGAUGAACGCCGGCGGUGUGCCUAAUACAUGCAAGUCGAGCGCACUGGCCCAACUGAUAUGACGUGCUUGCACUGAUUUGACGAUGGAUUACCAGUGAGCGGCGGACGGGUGAGUAACACGUGGGCAACCUGCCCUAAAGCGGGGGAUAACAUUUGGAAACAGGUGCUAAUACCGCAUAACUACGAAAACCACAUGGUUUUCGUAUCAAAGAUGGUUUCGGCUAUCACUUUAGGAUGGGCCCGCGGUGCAUUAGCUAGUUGGUAGGGUAACGGCCUACCAAGGCAAUGAUGCAUAGCCGAGUUGAGAGACUGAUCGGCCACAAUGGAACUGAGACACGGUCCAUACUCCUACGGGAGGCAGCAGUAGGGAAUCUUCCACAAUGGGCGCAAGCCUGAUGGAGCAACACCGCGUGAGUGAAGAAGGGUUUCGGCUCGUAAAACUCUGUUGUUGAAGAAGAACGUGCAUGAGAGUAACUGUUCAUGCAGUGACGGUAUUCAACCAGAAAGUCACGGCUAACUACGUGCCAGCAGCCGCGGUAAUACGUAGGUGGCAAGCGUUAUCCGGAUUUAUUGGGCGUAAAGCGAGCGCAGGCGGUUGCUUAGGUCUGAUGUGAAAGCCUUCGGCUUAACCGAAGAAGUGCAUCGGAAACCGGGCGACUUGAGUGCAGAAGAGGACAGUGGAACUCCAUGUGUAGCGGUGGAAUGCGUAGAUAUAUGGAAGAACACCAGUGGCGAAGGCGGCUGUCUGGUCUGCAACUGACGCUGAGGCUCGAAAGCAUGGGUAGCGAACAGGAUUAGAUACCCUGGUAGUCCAUGCCGUAAACGAUGAGUGCUAGGUGUUGGAGGGUUUCCGCCCUUCAGUGCCGCAGCUAACGCAUUAAGCACUCCGCCUGGGGAGUACGACCGCAAGGUUGAAACUCAAAGGAAUUGACGGGGGCCCGCACAAGCGGUGGAGCAUGUGGUUUAAUUCGAAGCUACGCGAAGAACCUUACCAGGUCUUGACAUCUUGCGCUAACCUAAGAAAUUAAGGCGUUCCCUUUCGGGGACCCAUUGACAAGUGGGUGCAUGGUCCUCCUCCA